rnacentral:rRNA from 1 species
AUGGGACGAAAGUCUGACCGAGCAACGCCGCGUGAGUGAAGAAGGUUUUCGGAUCGUAAAACUCUGUUGUUAGAGAAGAACAAGGACGUUAGUAACUGAACGUCCCCUGACGGUAUCUAACCAGAAAGCCACGGCUAACUACGUGCCAGCAGCCGCGGUAAUACGUAGGUGGCAAGCGUUGUCCGGAUUUAUUGGGCGUAAAGCGAGCGCAGGCGGUUUCUUAAGUCUGAUGUGAAAGCCCCCGGCUCAACCGGGGAGGGUCAUUGGAAACUGGGAGACUUGAGUGCAGAAGAGGAGAGUGGAAUUCCAUGUGUAGCGGUGAAAUGCGUAGAUAUAUGGAGGAACACCAGUGGCGAAGGCGGCUCUCUGGUCUGUAACUGACGCUGAGGCUCGAAAGCGUGGGGAGCAAACAGGAUUAGAUACCCUGGUAGUCCAUA